UACGUAGGCAGCAAGCGUUUGUUCGGAGUUACUGGGCGUAAAGGGUGUGUAGGCGGUUCUUUUAAGUUUGGUAUGAAAAUCUCCCGGCUCAACCGGGAGGGUGCGCCGAAUACUGAGGGACUAGAGUAUGGGAUGGGAAAGUGGAAUUCCUGGUGUAGCGGUGAAAUGCGUAGAUAUCAGGAGGAACACCUGUGGUGUAGACGGCUUUCUGGACCAUAACUGACGCUGGAGACACGAAAGCGUGGGUAGCAACAGG
rnacentral:rRNA from 1 species